rnacentral:lncRNA from 14 species
AUGGCCUCGGAGCGCCCCGAGCCAGAGGUAGAAGAAGCUGGGCAGGUGUUUCUGUUAAUGAAGAAAGAUUACCGAAUUUCCCGAAAUGUUCGCCUAGCUUGGUUCCUUAAUCAUCUGCAUCAAACUGUGCAGGCCAUACCCCAAGAGUCCCUGCUUCAAUCUGAGCAGGAGUUGGAAGUCCUCAGUGUUUUGCCCCCUGGAUGGCAGCCAGAUGAACCAGUGGUCCCAAGGCCAUUUCUUCUUGUGCCUUCUACUCGAGUCACCUUCCUGGCUUGGCAGUAUCGUUUUGUUAUUGAGCUGGACCUCAGCCCAUCUACUGGCAUUGUGGAUGAUUCUACAGGGGAGAUCUUGUUUGAUGAAGUUUUCCAUGCCCUGUCCCGUUGUCUGGGUGGGCUGCUUCGGCCCUUUCGAGUGCCUGGAUCCUGUAUCGACUUCCAGCCUGAGAUCUAUGUAACAAUCCAGGCCUAUUCCUCCAUCAUUGGCCUGCAGUCCCACCAGGUUCUGGUGCAAGGCUGCCUUUUGGACCCUUCCCGGCGGGAGGCGUUCCUGCAGCAGGUGUAUGAGCAGCUCUGCCUCUUUGAGGAGAAGGUGGCCACCAUGCUGCAGCAGCAGCAUGAGCCCCAGAGCCAGGCAGAAGACCAGUCCCCAGAAUCAGGGGAGUCCUUGGGCCGGAAGGUAGGCGUCUCCAUGGUGACAGCUGAUCUUGGGCUGGUCAGUAUGAUUCGUCAGGGCAUCUUGGCACUGCAGUUACUACCCUCGAAUUCUAGUGCAGGUCAGUAGAUGUAAGUAUUGGUGUAAGUGGGGAAAUGGGUUCAGGUAGGGUAGAGGGUAAAGAUCGAAGUUUCCCCAGGGAAGAAGUUCUGUUUUCUUGUUUGCAAGCUCAAAGUCCUUACUCACACAUAUUCCCCAUAUACUCAGUACUGCCCANNNNNNNNNNNNNNNNNNNNNNNNNNNNNNNNNNNNNNNNNNNNNNNNNNUAGGAGCACAUUUUCAUAUUUAUGUGGUUCCAAUUCCUGACAUUUCUCCUUCUCUGCCAUCUCCGAGACCUGGAGAAUGGUCAUCCCUAAUCCCUUAGUCAGUCAAGAACAGGGAGUGAAGAAGCGGGAGUUAUUUGUCAGGAGGUCAGGGAAGGGUGAUGGCAAAAGGGAUCCUGUGGGUCACUAUGGGGACUACAGGUCUGUAUGCAGGAGACUUCGUGGUUGAAGAAGAAGGAAAGGCCCACAGAGAGUGAGUGGGACAUAAAAGGUCUGAAGUGGCAAGAUUGCCCUGGGAAGAAGAGCAGGAAGAAUCUGGAGGAAGAGAGAACAAGUGUACAGGGGUGUGCAUCUGGAGCAGCCUUCAAGGGCAGUGACGUCAGAGAAGUGGCGAGUAGCCAUCCUCUAGGUCAGUGGGGUUCCUAGUGGCUGGCCAGCUUUCUCCCUAAGGAAGAGGGGGAGUGAUCUACUAAGGGUAAAGGAAGGAAUAUAGCUUCACAGGGGGUAAAGGGUAGGGAAUGGGAGUGAGGGUUUUGAACUUUAAGCAGAGAAAGGGCCUAGAAUAGCUGGUCUGUGAAGGACAUUUAGGAAGAAAAGAACAUUGGUUGGAAUACGAAGGCUUUGCCAGGCAGGAAGUGGAAGUUUGAAGAUGGCAUUCCAACGUGGAAGGCACUAGGGAGAGCCUAUCGCCCCAUAGAGGAAGGGGUGAAGGAACCCAGGCCGGAG